rnacentral:misc_RNA from 1 species
GCAUAACAUUAUAACACCGGAGAAAGAGAAACCAGAUGCAUAUGAAACAGAAGAAAUACAGCAGUAAUUCACAUGCUUCAUGAAAUAGAGCAGAACUAAUGGUCGUUCACUUCCACGAAAACAAGAGUACAGAACUAAGUCUACUCCAUGUGAAUACCAAAUCUUAUUUAUCCACGCAAGCUACAGUGACAAACUACGUUAUUUAUCACCAUGUUUG